UUGAGGUCUUUCCCAGCCAGAAUUCCGGAAUUCUGGAAUCCUUCCCACGGAAUUCCAGCAGCGCCUCGGGAAGGCCCCCAGCCUGGCCCAGGGGAGGCUGGGAUGGGAUUUUUGGGAAUUUUUCCAUGGAAAAAGCGCUCAGGCCUCGGCAGGGGAGGUUUGGAGGAAUCCAAGGAAUUCCUGGAAUUCCACUCAGGGCUGGGAUUGGGCUCAGCUUGGACUCAGCGGUCUUGGAAUUCUUUCCCACCCACAAUAAUUUGGGAAUUCUGUGCUCGUACCCCCACGGGAAUUCCCAGCUCAUCCCGGUUAUCCCUGAGCUUCCCAGCAAUUCCCAACCAAAACCCCCCCGGGGGGGAAAACAAACAAACAAACAAAAAAAUGGGAUAAAAACCAUUCCUCGAAUCUCCAUCAGGAGAUUCCCGGGAAAAAAAAAACAAAACAAAAAUCCAGGGAAAAAAAAAAUCCCAUUCCAGGAUCCAUGGAAAGGAGGGGACCCAACCCCCGAAGCCGCAGGAGCUGCGGGAUGGAACCCGUGGAAUUCCAGGAAAACGGGGAUGGGAAAAGAGGCGGAGAGGGAGGGACGGGGCUGGAAUUAGAAAUCCUUGGGAUGACAUUCCACGCCCACGGCCGGGAGCUGCGCAUCCCAAAAAUCCCCGCACGGGCCGGGAAGGAGAUGGAAAAAGCAGGAAAAAGCUGGGAUGGGGAAUUUUGGGAAUUUUGGGGGUUUUUUUAGGGAAGAAACGCUCGCAGAUGGGGUUGGAGGAUUUUGGCAGCGCUGUGGGUUCCCCGGGGAGGAAAAAUCAGGAAGAUUCCGGUUGGGGAGGGGAAAAUUCCUGGGAUGGGGGUGGUUAACCCUUGGCUGGAUGGGAAAGGAAAAGAGGGAGAAAAAAAUCAGAGAUUCCAGGAAAAAUUCCCGGGAUUGAGGUGGUUAACCCUUGGCUGACUGGGAAAAAAAGAUUGGGAUUAAAAAUCAAAGAUUCCAGGAAAAAUUCCCGGGAUUGAGGUGGUUAACCCUUGGCUGGCUGGGAAAAAAAAGUGGGAGAAAAAAAUCAGAAAUUCCAGGAAAAAUUCCCAGAAAAGUGUGGUUAACCCUUGGCUGGCUGGGAAAGAAAAAGAGAGAGAAAAGAUCAAAGAUUCUGGGAAAAAUUCCCGGGAUGGAGAUGGUUAACCCUUGGCUGGCUGGGAAAAAAAAAAAGUGGUAAAAAGAUGAAAAAAAAUCCAGGAAAAAUUCCCAGAAAAAGGUGAUUAACCCCCUGCUGUCUGGGAAAGAAAAAGAGGGAGAAAAAAAAUCAAAGAUUCCAGGAAAAAUUCCCGGGAUGGAGGUGGUUAACCCUUGGCUGACUGGGAAAAAAAAAUGGGAGAAAAACCUCAAAGAUUCCAGGAAAAAUUCCCAGGAAAAUGUGGUUAACUCUUGCCUGGCUGGGAAAAAAAAAGAGGGAGAAAAAAAUCAGAAAUUCCAGGAAAAAAUUCCCAGAAAAAGGUGGUUAACUCUUGGUUGGCUGGGAAAAAAAAAGAGGGAGAAAAGAGCAAAGAUUCCAGGAAAAAUUCCCAGAAACGUUGUGGUUAACUCUUGCCUGGCUGGGAAAAAAAAGAGGGAGAAAAGAGCAAAGAUUCCAGGAAAAAUUCCCAGAAAAAUGUGGUUAACACUUGGCUGACUGGGAAAAAAAGAUUGGGAUUAAAAAUCAAAGAUUCCAGGAAAAAUUCCCGGGAUGGAGGUGGUUAACUCUUGGCUGACUGGGAAAGAAAAGUGGGAGAAAAAAAUCAGAAAUUCCAGGAAAAAUUCCCAGAAAAGUGUGGUUAACCCUUGGCUGGCUGGGAAAAAAAAGAGGGAGAAAAGAGCAAAGAUUCCAGGAAAAAUUCCCAGGAAAAGUGUGGUUAACCCUUGGCUAGCUGGGAAAGAAAAAGAGGGAGAAAAGAUCAAAGAUUCUGGGAAAAAUUCCCAGGAUGGAGAUGGUUAACCCUUGACUGACUGGG